rnacentral:rRNA from 1 species
UACGUAGGGACCAAGCGUUGUUCGGAUUUACUGGGCGUAAAGGGCGCGUAGGCGGCGAAUCAAGUCAGUUGUGAAAUCUCCGAGCUUAACUCGGAACGGUCAACUGAUACUGUUUUGCUAGAGUGCAGAAAGGGCAACCGGAAUUCUUGGUGUAGCGGUGAAAUGCGCAGAUAUCAGGAGGAACACCAAUUGCGAAGGCAGCUCGCUGGGACGUUACUGACGCUGAGACGCGAAAGCGUGGGGAGCAGACAGG